rfam:Ruminococcus sp. CAG:177 genomic scaffold, scf107
CAGGAAUCUCAGGGGCGGGGUGAAAUUCCCCACCGGCGGUGAAGGCGAAAGCCGAAGCCCGCGAGCCGCGAGAGCGGUUGAUCCGGUGCGAUUCCGGAGCCGACGGUAAAGUCCGGAUGGAAGAGGAUGCGA